rnacentral:tRNA from 1 species
ACGGGGUGGCCGAGCAGGCGUUGCACGCGUCGUUCCUGGCGACGCUGGUCUACCGGCUCGGUCCCGUCGGCCCGUCC